CUGGAUGCAUUCAGGCUGUUCUGUGACACAGUUGAACUAGUUUAGAAGGUUCCUCCUUUGUCUCUGGGCUCCUUUUCUUUUAUUCCCCUAGGACUCUUUGCUGCAAAUGAUUUUAUCUGAAGCUGUGUCUGAACAAAAAUAGACAAAUGGAGAACUGAGGCAAUUAUACUAUUAAUUCAAGCAGAGAAAAAAGCACUUCGCCUGAGUUAUCUGGCAUUUCCUGGCAAAAAUCUUUUUCUAUGUCAAUGAUCUAGAAGAUUGCCUAACUUCUUUUCUUCAGGGGUGUAGAUGUGGCCUAUGUCACAUGGCUCUCAUUGCCUCAUUUCCUGCUGCUUCAGACUGUGUCUAUUCUAGGAAGGCUGACACAUGAUGAGAAGAGUCAGUGGUCCUGAGGUACAGUACUUAAGAUAACCCUGUGAAGGCUGAGAUUGAUAUUUGAAAUUCACAACUGAUCUUGGAGCCUGGUACAGCAGUCAUGGUAAGCUGGACAUACAGAGCCAUAUUGGAUUGUGAAAGGAACUCAGUUGACCUGGCCUAUUGCAGAUUUAUUCUGAGAAUUUCAAUUCAGUCUUUGCUGCUGUUUGGAAAUCUUUCAUGAAUCUUUUAAUAACUUCCUUACAUACAUCUUGUUCCAUUAAAGCCCCAAAUUUGGCUUUGUCAGCUCUCUUUCUUCAUAAUCUUUAGCAGGAUUUGUUCAUGUGUGGAUGUGAUGGAACUGAAGUCGCUAGGUUCAUGCUACCUGGAACAUGAGACUGACAAAUAGAGGAGCACUGAGUCAAAUGAAUCUCGGAGAAAUGGAGCUGGAAGAAAACUGGAGUAAGCCUGUCCCUGAAAGGGCACUACAUUUGGAUAUCCAGCAGUGGGACUCAAUAUUUUUUCUUGUUGUUUAAUCUCAUUUCUGUUACUUGCAGCCAAAGGCUCUUAAUGAGAAAAUGGCUCUACCUAGUUUUCUGAAAUUGCCUCAGUCUCUCCACUCUUCCCUAUUACAAAGGUCAUCUCUUUAAUUCACAUCCAAUAACUGAUAGUCUCUUGACUAAUCUACAUCCUCUCAUUCUCUCCUAAUUCACCUUUCAUACUGUUGCCAGGUGACUUUUCCUAAAAGACAACUUUCAUGAUGUCACUCUACUUCAUAAAUUCUUAUAAUGGUUUCUUUUUGCUUUUAGUCCAAACUCCUCAGGUUCGUUUUCAAGGCUUUUCAUAAUUGAAUUUCUUUUAUAUACCUAAGAUGAUUUCUCUGUGUUCCCAAAUGUACAAUUGACAGUCCUUCCUCCUGAUGUUCUCUCCAGUAGGAAAUGUUUGCUCUAUGUAAAUUCAGUAUAGCUUUUAGUCUCUAUUCAAGUUCUACCUUCUUCAUAAACUUCUCCUGAAUAGAAUCAGCCUAUAACCAUUUAAACUGUCUUUAUUAGGUGCACACUAUGUGCCAGGUACUCAACAAGGCAGUGGAACUAUGAAGACAGAUAAUCACAGUCCCUCUUGCCUCUGGGAGCAGGCAGUUGAAUGCAAUGCUUUUUAAAGUUUUAAGUAACGUGGUCAUGCAAAAUCUUAUAGAUAUACAUUUGAAUGUACAGAGUUUAAUUACCAAGCUAGUGAGACUUAAUGUUUCAAUUAAUAAAAAGUUUGGAAUCAAGGUAUAUAGAUAAGUAUAGUGGUCUUAUAUUUAGCCUCAAACUGAAAUUUAUGUCUUAUUUUAUUAUGGUUACUUAAUAUUUUAAAAGACUAUGAUUCAUCGGGCGUGGUGGCUCACGCCUAUAAUCCCAGCACUUUGGGAUACCGAGGUGGGUGGAUCAUGAGGUCAGCAGUUCGGGACCAGCCUGACCAACAUGGUGAAAUCCCAUCUCUACUAAAAAUACAAAAAUUAGUGGGGUAGGCAUGGUGGCGGGCACCAUAUAUCCAACAUUAUGGUACAGUCAUUUGUUGCAUAACAACAUCUCAGUCAACCAUGGACUGCAUAUACAAGGAAUGUGCCAUAAGAUUAUAAUACUGUAACUUUACUUAUCUUUUCAAUGCCUGUAAUCCCAGCUACUCAGGAGGCUGGAAUGAAAGAAAAGAUAUACGCAAAGUGGAUUCUAAUCAUAGGUGAGGACUAAUUUUUGUUUUAAGGACUCAGCAUGCAGGAAAUAAUAUACAAGUAUUAGCUCUUAUUAAUGAUAACAAUGGGAGGCAUAUAUAAUUUCUUGAUUAAAGCAAAUGCCAGCCUUAGUUAUCAGGUUUUCUUUUUGUCAUCACUUUGCCCAUUUUCUUAAACUCAUAUCUUUACAAUAGAAUUAAAUUUUUUUUGGCUAAAUCAAUCAACAAAAAGUCUAUUUUCUAGUUUCAUUCUUGUUGCCCAGGCUGGAGUGCAAUGGUGUGAUCUUGGCUCACCGCAACCUUGACCUCCUAGGUUCAAGUGAUUCUCCUGUCUCAGUCUCCUGAGUAGCUAGUAUUACAGGCAUGCACCACUAUGCCCGGCUAAUUUUGUAUUUUUAGUUGAGAUGGGGUUUCUCCAUGUUGGUCAGGCUGGUCUCGAACUCCCGACCUCAGGUGAUCCACCUGCUUCAGCCUCCCAAAGUGCUGGGAUUACAGGUGUGAGCAGCCGUGCCCUGCUGAAACUUAUUUGUUUGAGCAAUAAAAGCCACAUAUUUCCUC
rnacentral:lncRNA from 10 species